rnacentral:rRNA from 1 species
UCGAACGGUGAAGCCAAGCUUGCUUGGUGGAUCAGUGGCGAACGGGUGAGUAACACGUGAGCAACCCUGCCCUGGACUCUGGGAUAAGCGCCUGGAAACGGCGUCUAAUACUGGAUAUGAGCCNCUAUCNAAUGGUGGGGGUUGGAAAGAUUUUUUGGUCUGGGAUGGGCUCGCGGCCUAUCAGCUUGUUGGUGAGGUAAUGGCUCACCAAGGCGUCGACGGGUAGCCGGCCUGAGAGGGUGACCGGCCACACUGGGACUGAGACACGGCCCAGACUCNUACGGGAGGCAGCAGUGGGGAAUAUUGCACAAUGGGCGGAAGCCUGAUGCAGCAACGCCGCGUGAGGGAUGACGGCCUUCGGGUUGUAAACCUCUUUUAGCAGGGAAGAAGCGAGAGUGACGGUACCUGCAGAAAAAGCGCCGGCUAACUACGUGCCAGCAGCCGCGGU